ACACUCCUACGGGAGGCAGCAGUGGGGAAUUUUGGACAAUGGGCGAAAGCCUGAUCCAGCAAUGCCGCGUGAGUGAAGAAGGCCUUCGGGUUGUAAAGCUCUUUUGUCAGGGAAGAAACGGUGAGAGCUAAUAUCUCUUGCUAAUGACGGUACCUGAAGAAUAAGCACCGGCUAACUACGUGCCAGCAGCCGCGGUAAUACGUAGGGUGCAAGCGUUAAUCGGAAUUACUGGGCGUAAAGCGUGCGCAGGCGGUUUUGUAAGUCUGAUGUGAAAUCCCCGGGCUCAACCUGGGAAUUGCAUUGGAGACUGCAAGGCUAGAAUCUGGCAGAGGGGGGUAGAAUUCCACGUGUAGCAGUGAAAUGCGUAGAUAUGUGGAGGAACACCGAUGGCGAAGGCAGCCCCCUGGGUCAAGAUUGACGCUCAUGCACGAAAGCGUGGGGAGCAAACAGGAUUAGAUACCCGGGUAGUCCC
rnacentral:rRNA from 1 species